CUGGCAGCGUGGAUAGGCAUGCAAGUCGAACGGGAUCCGGAAGGCAGCAAUGUCGGCCGGUGAGAGUGGCGGAAGGACGAGGAACACGUGGGCAACCCGUCUCUGAGGUGGGGAAAACCGUUGGAAACGACGGCUAAUACCGAAUGUAGCGCCCGCUCGCAUGAGCGGAGCGCCAAAGGGGGCGAAAGCUCCCCCUCUCCCGAGGGGCCCGCGCACCAUCAGCUUGUUGGCGGGGUAACGGCCCACCAAGGCUCACGGUUAGCUGGUCUGAGAGGAUGGCCAGCCGCACUGGGACUGAGAUACUGCCCAGACUCCUACGGGAGGCUGCAGUCGAGGAUCAUCUGCAAUGGGCGAAAGCCUGACAAUGCGACGCUGCGUGGAGGAUGAAGGCCCUCGGGUUGUAAACUCCUGUCAUGGGGGAAAAGGAAAAGGGACCCAACACGUCCCCGAUUUGAUGGUACCCCAAGGGGAAGCGACGGCUAACUCUGUGCCAGCCGCUGC
rnacentral:rRNA from 1 species